rnacentral:lncRNA from 1 species
UACACCCUUGAUAGGCUUCGCUGGAGAUGCUGUCACGACGGAAGGAGAAGUCACUCUACCCGUGACGGUUGGCACCGAACCACGAUAAAGCACAGUCCAUUUGACUUUUGUGAUCGUCCAAAUGUCUUCAGCUUAUAACGCCAUACUUGGAAGACCCGGACUAAACACCCUCAGGGUGAUAGUUUCGACGUAUCAUCUCUUGGUUCGGUUUUCGAUCAAAAAUAGAGUUGGGAAGAUGCACGGAGACCAACAGCUCGCUCGCCGAUGCUUUCAGAUCUCUGCUCAAAGCGAGGAGUCGAAGGGCUCCCUGACGAUCGACAAGCUAGACCAACGG